CCAGACUCCUACGGGAGGCAGCAGUGGGGAAUAUUGCACAAUGGGGGAAACCCUGAUGCAGCGACGCCGCGUGAGUGAAGAAGUAUUUCGGUAUGUAAAGCUCUAUCAGCAGGGAAGAAGAAAGACGGUACCUGACUAAGAAGCCCCGGCUAACUACGUGCCAGCAGCCGCGGUAAUACGUAGGGGGCAAGCGUUAUCCGGAUUUACUGGGUGUAAAGGGAGCGUAGACGGCUGUGCAAGUCUGAAGUGAAAGCCCAGGGCUCAACCCUGGGACUGCUUUGGAAACUGUGGAGCUAGAGUGCUGGAGAGGUAAGUGGAAUUCCUAGUGUAGCGGUGAAAUGCGUAGAUAUUAGGAGGAACACCAGUGGCGAAGGCGGCUUACUGGACAGUAACUGACGUUGAGGCUCGAAAGCGUGGGGAGCAAACAGGAUUAGAUACCCGAGUA
rnacentral:rRNA from 1 species